rnacentral:misc_RNA from 1 species
UUCUUCGAGUUUUGUGCUGCUUUUGGUGAGGUUCUUGAUCUCAAGAAAGGGCAAGCUGAAGCCGUGAUUAGAGAAAUAAUAUUUGGCCGAAGAGCACGCCGGUCACAAGGCUCGUUAUUAGUGCAUUUUCACAUCAAAUUAUUGCUUCUGAUACAAGAGGAUAUAGGAGAAGAGUACAAGUUUCUUCCAGAAUAUAUUUGUUCUCAAUUGCGCUUGCUUUUGUGGGAUGAACAGUAAUAAUCUGUGGUUUUCUUGUUCAGGUUUGCCACACUGAGUCCAGCAAAUGGGAAAAAUUCAUGGUUGAAGGCUUUUGGGAAAUGUGUCUCUGAGUGCAAUUUCAUAUCAAUGGGAUUCCCCUCUGAUUGUUUUG